CUCUUUCCGGCAACUGCCGAAGCGGAUAAGCUGGACGACGACGGCUCCUUCGGCUCAUUUCGGAGGCGGCCAUUACUAACGGAGUUGAUGACUUUUUAUUACGUGAUAAAUAACACGUAGGGGCGUUAUACAGAUCUGCUGCCCCUUCGGAGGCAUUUAAGCUUCCGAUUCGAGCCUUAUUUUAUUUUUUUUUAACGAAAACCUGGGAAGCGAGCCUAGGGUGGAAGAGGAGGGCGCUAGCGCUACGUGGAGCUGAAUUUCAAAUUACGUAACAGUUGAAGCAGCCAUUACCGAGCGGUUGUACGGUACUCUCGAGCAGGAAUACCUUAACCAUGAAGAAUAUGAGGGAAAAGGAGCAGUUCCGCAAACUGUUUAUUGGCGGCUUAAGCUUUGAAACCACAGAGGAAAGCUUGAGGAGUUACUAUGAGCAAUGGGGAAAGCUGACAGACUGUGUGGUAAUGAGGGAUCCUGCAAGCAAAAGAUCAAGGGGGUUUGGUUUUGUAACAUUCUCCUCCAUGGCUGAAGUAGAUGCGGCCAUGGCUGCAAGACCUCACACAAUUGAUGGAAGGGUGGUUGAGCCUAAGAGAGCUGUGGCUAGGGAGGAAUCUGGAAAACCUGGUGCUCAUGUUACUGUGAAAAAACUGUUUGUUGGUGGUAUUAAAGAGGACACUGAAGAGCACCACCUUCGUGACUACUUUGAGGAAUAUGGAAAAAUUGACACUAUUGAAAUCAUUACUGACAGACAGUCUGGUAAAAAGAGAGGGUUUGGAUUUGUUACAUUUGAUGACCAUGAUCCUGUGGAUAAAAUUGUGUUGCAGAAGUAUCACACCAUCAAUGGCCAUAAUGCAGAAGUAAGGAAAGCGCUCUCUAGACAGGAAAUGCAGGAAGUUCAGAAUUCUAGGAGUGGGAGAGGAGGGAACUUCGGUUUUGGUGAUGCACGUGGAGGUGGUGGCAACUUUGGUCCAGGACCUGGCAGCAAUUUCAGAGGGGGAGCUGGUAAGACAGACGGAUAUGGAAGUGGCCGUGGAUUUGGUGAUGGGUAUAACGGAUAUGGUGGAGGACCUGGAGGUGGCAACUUCGGUGGCAGUCCUGGUUAUGGAGGAGGAAGAGGUGGAUAUGGUGGAGGAGGACCUGGAUAUGGCAACCAGGGUGGGGGCUAUGGAGGUGGUUAUGACAACUAUGGAGGAGGCAAUUACGGUAGUGGAAACUAUAAUGAUUUUGGAAACUACAACCAACAACCUUCAAAUUACGGUCCAAUGAAAAGUGGAAAUUUUGGUGGCAGCAGGAACAUGGGGGGACCAUAUGGUGGAGGAAACUAUGGUCCUGGGGGCAGUGGAGGAAGUGGUGGCUAUGGAGGGAGGAGCCGUUAUUGAGUUUCUGCAAGCAUGCCAUGGGCUUCACUGUAUAAAUAGGAGAGGAUGAGAGCCCAGAGGUAACAGAACAGCUUCAGGUUAUCGAAAUAACAAUGUUAAGGAAACACUUAUCUCAGUCAUGCAUAAAUAUGCAGUGAUAUGGCAGAAGACACCAGAGCAGAUGCAGAGAGCCAUUUUGUGAAUGGAUUUGGAUUAUUUAAUAACAUUACCUUACUGUGGAGGAAGGAUUGUAAAAAUGCCUUUGAGACAGUUUCUUAGCUUUUUAAUUGUUGUUUCUUUCUAGUGGUCUUUGUAAGUGUAGAAGCAUUCCUUUGAUAAUGUUAAAUUUGUAAGUUUCAGGUGACAUGUGAAACCUUUUUUAAGAUUUUUCUCAAAGUUUUGAAAAGCUAUUAGCCAGGAUCAUGGUGUAAUAAGACAUAACGUUUUCCUUUUAAAAAUUUAAGUGCGUGUGUAGAGUUAAGAAGCUGUUGUACAUUUAUGAUUUAAUAAAAUAAUUCUAAAGGAAAUAUUGUGUAAUUUUAGAUUUUUUUUUUAAUAUUGUAAAAUAAGGCAAGGAGUGGGUAGUAUAAGGUCCCACAAAUAAUAUAAAGCUAUUGUUGUACAUGUAAAAUUAAAUGCUGGUCAGAAAAAAGUAUGUUGUUUGUAAAUGAUCAGGUUUAAAAUAUCUAGAUAACUUAAGGGAUAUCUCUGCAAGGAGAAACACCUUUUUAGAUCUUUUAGAUGCUGCUUCUUCAAUGGCAAGGAAAGGAAAUAUCCCCAGCGAGGUACUCUUCCAGGGACACAGGUCUAGUACAAGAGAACUCUUGAAAACGUCACUAAGUUCAGCCAGUCUUAAAAAGCUGCGCUGUAUUUCUGCAAAGCUUUAACUACAGUAGUUUAUAAGGAUGCCAACGAAGGCUGAGGGUGUAGAGCAAAAUAGUUCUAAGCUUCAGUUAAACUUCUUUAGCUAUGAUAUGAACCCUGGACAAGCAUAGACUGCUGCCACUGUACACUGCUACAGUUGAACAAAUGAGACCUGCAAGUGUCCAUUAGUAAAGCUUUGCAAGGGUUCCAUCUCUGGUGUUGGUAGUUAAAAUGGAAGGUGCCAUGCUGCAGGUAACUAAUGAAGAAGUGGUCAACCACAGAAACGCUUCAAGAAAUAAGAAAUUCUGUAUCAUCAGAAAAUAGUUGUUUUUGCUGCCUUCAUUAAAAAUCUAGAGGUUAAAUGAAUACUGAUAAAACAUCACAAUUAGUACAGCUCCCUGUAAUGCUGGGUUUUUUUAAAUUAUAGUAAUAAUGUCUUGUAAACCUUUCGAAUAAAACUCAGAUUCGUUAGGACAAACAAAUCACUAAUGUUAAAAUAGCAAACAUUCUGUGAGUAGAAAGUUUAACUACAUAUUUUUAUAACUUUCAUAGCUUUAAAAUAAAGUAUUUUUUAUACCAAA